ACCCGCCUAGCUCAGCUGGAAGAGCGGUAGCCUCCUAAGUUACAAGUCGUGGGUUCAAUCCCCACGGUGGGUG